rnacentral:pre_miRNA from 1 species
AGAGGGAUAGCUGGGUCAAAUGGUGGAUCCAUUCCCAGAUUUCCAAGGAAUCUCCAUACUGCUUUCCAUAUUGGCUGCACCAGUUUGCAGUCCCACCAGCAAU